ACCAGCAGCUAGCUCGCUGCAACUCUCACAUGGUCGUCCAUUGAAGCGAAGCAGCGCUGUGCCUGGUCAGUACCUGGAUGGAAGACCACAAGGGGAAGCUAGGUUGCUGCCGGAA
rnacentral:rRNA from 1 species